UCCGGCUUAUCACCGGCAGUCCCCUUAGAGUGCCCAACUAAAUGAUGGCAACUAAAGACGGGGGUUGCGCUCGUUGCGGGACUUAACCCAACACCUCACGGCACGAGCUGACGACAGCCAUGCACCGCCUGUCAGGGGCCCUUACGGACACCGUAUCUCUACGGCUUUUCCCCUGAUGUCAAGUCCAGGUAAGGUUCUUCGCGUUGCAUCGAAUUAAGCCACAUGCUCCGCCGCUUGUGCGGGUCCCCGUCAAUUCCUUUGAGUUUUAGCCUUGCGGCCGUACUCCCCAGGCGGGGUGCUUAAUGCGUUAGCGUCGGCACGGAAAGGGUUGAAGGCCUCCCCACACCUAGCACCCAACGUUUACGGCUGGGACUAC
rnacentral:misc_RNA from 1 species